CAGCAGCCGCGGUAAGACAGAGGAUGCAAGCGUUAUCCGGAAUGAUUGGGCGUAAAGCGUCUGUAGGUGGCUUUUCAAGUCCGCCGUCAAAUCCCCGGGCUCAACCUGGGAAUGGCGCUUGUGACUGCAAAGCUAGAGUGCGGCAGAGGGGGAUGGAAUUCCGCGUGUAGCAGUGAAAUGCGUAGAUAUGCGGAGGAACACCGAUGGCGAAGGCAAUCCCCUGGGCCUGCACUGACGCUCAUGCACGAAAGCGUGGGGAGCAAACAGGAUUAGAUACCCGUGUAGUCCCUGUCUCUUAUAC
rnacentral:rRNA from 1 species